rnacentral:rRNA from 1 species
UACAGAGGUGGCAAGCGUUGUUCGGAAUUACUGGGCGUAAAGGGCGAGUAGGUGGCCAUCUAAGUCAGACGUGAAAUCCCCCGGCUUAACCUGGAAAUUGCGUUUAAUACUGUCGAACUAGAGUGUGGAAGAGGCUACUAGAAUUCCGUGUGUAGCGGUGAAAUGCGUAGAUAUACGGAGGAAUACCUGCGGCGAAGGCGGGUUGCUGGGCUGAUACUGACGCUGAGGCGCGAAAGCCAGGGGAGCGAACGGG